CGCGUGUGCGAUGAAGGCCUUCGGGUUGUAAAGCACUGUCGAGAGGGAACAAGCCGCAAGGUUGAGUGACCUCUGGAGGAAGGACGGGCUAAGUUCGUGCCAGCAGCCGCGGUAAGACGAACCGUCCAAACGUUAUUCGGAAUCACUGGGCUUAAAGGGCGCGUAGGCGGGCGAUCAAGUCAGGGGUGAAAUCCUCCAGCUCAACUGGAGAAGUGCCUUGAUACUGGUUGUCUAGAGUGAGGUAUGGGCAUGUGGAACUUCCAGUGGAGCGGUGAAAUGCGUAGAUAUUGGAAGGAACACCAGUGGCGAAAGCGAUGUGCUGGAUCUCAACUGACGCUGAGGCGCGAAAGCUAGGGGAUCAAACGGGAUUAGAUACCCCGGUAGUCCUAGCCCUAAACUUUGUGUACUAGAUUGUGGACUAACAUGGGUUCACAGUCGAAGCAAAAGUGUUAAGUACCCCGCCUGGGGAGUAUGGUCGCAAGGCUGAAACUCAAAGGAAUUGACGGGGGCUCACACAAGCGGUGGAGCAUGUGGCUUAAUUCGAGGCUACGCGAAGAACCUUAUCCUGGAUUUGACAUGUUCGAAAGAGUUCGGAAGUAGGACCCGGAAACGGGAACGACCGGUAUCUAACCGGAACCUACACGGUGCUGGUGGUGUCGUCGUCGGUGGGGAUGUGGGUAAUCCGUACGGGGGGCUUUCUUGUGGCGGGUAGCGGAACCUGGAACUGCGGGAUACGAGAGUGGCA
rnacentral:rRNA from 1 species